GCGCCUUGUCCAUUUUUCAAAGGGGGAGAGUCGUUCCUCGUGCUAUUACAUUGUUUGAGGGCUGGAUAGCCCGAUCGAAAAAUUCCACAAAGGGGCUGCGUAGGGAGCGGCAUUGGGGCGGUGAGGGCUCAGGGCGACCGUACAGCUGAGUGUAUGGGGGGAGGGGCAGGAGCUCGGGCCCCAAAUGAUACUGCGGGUGACCUAACGCGCGUCUCGCUGACUUGCGGCGAGCCCCUGCCUUCCCCAGGGACUCAGACACGGAAACCUCUCUUCAGCCUACCCGCGAGCGAGUCCCCGGCGCCAACCUGCCCUCUGACCUCUUGUGAGACCAGGCCAGCCGUGCCGACAGCCCGGACUGUGGGGCAGGCUGCCAGCCCGAGGCAGUCUCCCCUACACAGAGUGAGACGGGAGGAGGGGUUAGAGGUUUGAAGCCCAUUCGGUGAACGAUGCAGGGCUACUGAUUGAGGGGGGUCCCCUCCCCCACGCUCAGAUGGUGAAGACCUAAGGCAGGUCUGUCUGAGGAAGCCAGUCCGCGAGUGAGAUCUUGCGCGGGCCUGUCUAAGGGAACCUCCGAGGAAUGAGACACGAGGGACAGGGCCAGCUCUGUUUGCGAGCCUCUUCUUUAGCUAAUGGCACUAGGGUAGGGGCUGGUCUAGGCUGCCCUGACUAGCGCUAAUCAAUAGCGGAGCGAGAGGUACGCGCGUGAGACAGGCGCAGCCCCUGUGUGUAUACUGAGCACCUUCCCUUCUUCCCACCCCCACCCUCCCUGCGUGUGCUGCCCACACACCACCCCGCAUUCCCCGCCUGGCUUCGCCCUCCGGCGAUGGCUGAGGGAGGGAGGGAGGGGAAACGGCGGCGGCUGGGGUUUUAUUCGACGCCCACCAGGGGCUGAGCGAGCCUUCUUCAGUGCGCAAACUCGGUGCACCACAUAAAAGCUGGGCUGGCAGCUCUUUACCCUGCCUCGAUGGAGCCGCCACGAGUGGGUGACUGGGGAAGCCGCCGCCAUAGCCAACCCUUCCCCGUACCUUGGGCACAGAGGCGUGUGGGGCUAAAGAACCGCUGCUGUAGCAGACAGGAGUCGAGAGGGAUCUGGAUGCGGAGGAGGCGGCUGUAACGAGACCUCGAGUAUGGGGGGAGGGAGGGAUUAAACGUCUUGUGGCCAUGGCGGAGUCUGAGGGUAUUUUUUCCUGUCUAACUCGCGUGUGUGUCUCUGUUUCUCUCUCUCUCUCUCUCUCUCUCCGUAGGGCGCUUGGUUGGGCUGCUCGCUCGGGUUCUGCCUGUUGCGCGAAAUGGCGGCUGCUGUCUUGCUGGGUUUGGUUGUUUGGCUUUUUUCGUUGGCUCUUUUUUCUCCUAUUUCCCUCCCCCUCCCUUGGCCACUUCUCCGCAGCGAACCGCGGUGAGGACUGAGUCAGGAGGAAGAGGCGGGGGGAGCGGACGGCAUUGAAGCCAAUCACCAGGCUGGCUGGGCUGCCCAGGGGCGCCCGGAUUGGCUGCUGCUGACAUCAUCUUGCAGCAGGGGCAGCCGCAGCUGGGCAGGGCUGAGGAGCUGUCUGGGGAGGCUGGUGCAAAGGGAGAAAACAGGCGCCAUGAUCCCGGCGCUGGGGAGGCUGAGGGCCCGGAGAGCGAGGCAAGCUCACGGGAAGGGAACGUGAAGGCCUUGACAACCAUCACCUAAGCUAAGCGGUACCAGGACUGUGAGGAGAUAAGCAGGGGGAGAGGGACCGUUUGUAUUUAUAACUGCGUCAGCACAAGAUGGCGCGGGGUCUCCCUGGAGAGGGACAGGAGCUGCACGUCCGCCGGAGGUCAUGUGACCGCGUUGCAUUCUUGUGGGGCUGUUUGGCUGCAGACCAAGCUGGCUGAGAAGGCGGCUGCUGGGGAGAGUCUGCGCUUCCUCCCCCGCCCUAUUCAUCCCCGCCCCAGGCUGGAGAGUCUGGGUGGAUUUUUAUUCUCCUUCCCUAUUGCCCAUCUGCAGGAGGGUGUAGUUCGUGCUACUAAGGAAAGUUCUCGCUUCUCGUCCCAUUUCCCCACCCCCAGGAUGUGGCAGCUCCUUGUGGGGAAAGUUUUCCUCCUCCCCCUCCUCUGCAUUGAGCUUAGCUGCUGCAGAAGAAAGUUCUCGCUCUUCUCCCUGCCCCAGCCCCUCCUUUUCCGUGCGGGCAUGGAGGCGGGGAGUAAUUUUUUCCAUUACUGCCGGACAAGGUUGUAAGAUAGAGAAAUGGAUGCACAGGAAGAUGAAGUGACUUGCCCGGUGUCACCCUGUAGGUCAGUGGCCUACUUGGAAAUAGAGCCCUGUUCUUAAAUGUGCGUCUGUCCAUCCAUCUGAGUCCAUUUGUUCAAGAACUCCUAAACAGGAAGAGCUAGGACCACCAAAUUUGAUAUGCAACUUCCUCUUGUCCUGACUUAAAGCAGCAAGGUCAGUGUUUGGUUGUGCCAAGGAAACAGGAAGUGCUGUGAAUGGGACUAUUUUUCAUAACAUGGAAAGGCAGAGGGCAGAAAGAGGAGAGACAUGAUACUGAGUGGUUAGUGGGGGCAGUCACAUCACCAAGAGUGUUGCCAGCAGGGCUAGGACUCCACAAUCGUGCCUGCCACCAGACUGGAUAAAUAGCCCCUAUGCUCCAAACCCUUUUCCCCCAACCUGGCUCUUGGCUGCAACCUGGCGUUUGGGUGGGGGGGGGACAGAGGGGAGAAAAGGCCCCUGACAGCCAGAAGGGCGAGACAGAAGACCUGGAGGAGGGGGAUGGACUGGGAGAGAGAGAAAAGGCUCCAUUAGAUUAAAUCUCCCUACCCUGAGAUCUCAUUCCCCCCUCCCCCAUUCUCACUCUUGCGCACCCCUCCCCCCAAAACCUCCAGCUUGUGGCUUGUCCCUGAUUCCUGCACUGCCUCACACACUGCCAGCCACUUGCUUUAAAGUACCCUGGCAACACUGGGUAAAUCUAGUUCUCUCUCUCUCUCUCAUUGGGUGGGCAAUAAAAAACGGCAGCCCGCAGGGUUAGUCCUUGGCGGGCUGCUGCCACGGUUACCUGUGCCUCCACAGGUUUUGGAGGAUCACCGCUCUAGUUGGCCACGAAUCACUGUGUCCAAUUUGAGCAACGGGAAGCAUCAUGAACCAGGAUGCCACUUCCCACUGCUCAUAUUGGCCACAAAUGGCAAUUUGCAGUCAACAAGAGCUGUGAUUCUCCAAUAACCUACAGAGGCACAGGUAAACAUGGAAGUAGGGGCCCACCAGGGACUAGCAGCCCAGAUCCGGCCUAUGGGCCGGAAUUGCCCACCCUGAUGGAUUGUAUGAAAGCAGCUAUUUAAAAUGUUGUUUAAUACAAUCUGAGUGCUGUUACUGACUGCAGUAUUUUUUUUACUUUAGAAGAAAUACCAUCGUACAGUUUCUGUAACACACAUACAAUACAGUACUAUCUCAAACAGCUAGGGACAGAUUGUAACAGAAAUGUUCUUGGAUACCAAAAGCAUCUCUUCAGCAACUAAUUGUGAUCACAGAAGCAAGCAAUUUAAACUUCAGUAAGAAUAUGCAGCAAAAGCAGGUGAAGUCUUAAAGGAGGUCUUGUUUUCAUGCAAUUGAUGCUAGCAAUAGACUAAACAUUUCAGAUCUUCAGCAAUUUUUAAAAUGUUUAAAACAUACUUUUUUUCUGAUAGUUUGUAUGGUUGUAUUUCACUAAAAAGAUGUGAUGGCCUCCUUAUUGUGUGACCUAUCCAUUAACAAAAAGCUUGUUUUUUAGACUGGUUUCGACUUCCAGAUGGAUUACACAAGCUCAGUAGGACUCCGCCCUACAUCCUGUACCAAGAAGCAAUUCACAGGACUCUCCAUUGUUCUUUGAUUACUUUGUGCUUUCUACAUUC